UACAGAGGUCUCAAGCGUUGUUCGGAUUCAUUGGGCGUAAAGGGUGCGUAGGUGGCGCGCUAAGUCAGGUGUGAAAUUUCGGGGCUCAACCCCGAAACUGCAUUUGAUACUGGCGUGCUUGAGGACUGGAGAGGAGACUGGAAUUCACGGUGUAGCAGUGAAAUGCGUAGAUAUCGUGAGGAAGACCAGUGGCGAAGGCGGGUCUCUGGACAGUUCCUGACACUGAGGCACGAAGGCCAGGGGAGGCAAACGGG
rnacentral:rRNA from 1 species